GACGAACGCUGGCGGCGUGCUUAACACAUGCAAGUCGAACGGUAAGGCCCUUCGGGGUACACGAGUGGCGAACGGGUGAGUAACACGUGGGUGAUCUGCCCUGCACUUCGGGAUAAGCCUGGGAAACUGGGUCUAAUACCGGAUAGGACCACUGCCUGCAUGGGUGGUGGUGGAAAGCUUUUGCGGUGUGGGAUGGGCCCGCGGCCUAUCAGCUUGUUGGUUGGGUGAUGGCCUACCAAGGCGACGACGGGUAGCCGGCCUGAGAGGGUGACCGGCCACAGUGGGACUGAGAUAGGGCCCAGACUCCUACGGGAGGCAGCAGUGGGGAAUAUUGCACAAUGGGCGCAAGCCUGAUGCAGCGACGCCGCGUGAGGGAUGACGGCCUUCGGGUUGUAAACCUCUUUCAGCACCGACGAAGCGCAAGUGACGGUAGGUGCAGAAGAAGGACCGGCCAACUACGUGCCAGCCGCCGCAGUAA
rnacentral:rRNA from 1 species